rnacentral:rRNA from 1 species
AUUGAACGCUGGCGGCAUGCUUUACACAUGCAAGUCGAACGGUAACAGGCCGCAAGGUGCUGACGAGUGGCGAACGGGUGAGUAAUGCAUCGGAACGUGCCCAGUCGUGGGGGAUAACGCAGCGAAAGCUGCGCUAAUACCGCAUACGAUCUAUGGAUGAAAGCGGGGGACCGUAAGGCCUCGCGCGCUUGGAGCGGCCGGUGUCAGAUUAGGUAGUUGGUGAGGUAAAGGCUCACCAAGCCAACGAUCUGUAGCUGGUCUGAGAGGACGACCAGCCACACUGGGACUGAGACACGGCCCAGACUCCUACGGGAGGCAGCAGGGGGGAAUUUUGGACAAUGGGCGCAAGCCUGAUCCAGCAAUGCCGCGUGCAGGAAGAAGGCCUUCGGGUUGUAAACUGCUUUUGUACGGAACGAAACGGCUCUCACUAAUACUGGGGGCUAAUGACGGUACCGUAAGGAUAAGCACCGGCUAACUACGUGCCAGCCGCCGCGGUAACAC